rnacentral:rRNA from 1 species
GACGUAGGGCGCGAGCGUUGUCCGGAUUUAUUGGGCGUAAAGAGCGUGUAGGCGGCCAGGCAGGUCUGCUGUGAAAACUCGAGGCUCAACCUCGAGACGUCGGCGGAAACCAUCUGGCUAGAGUCCGGAAGAGGAGAGUGGAAUUCCUGGUGUGAGCGGUGAAAUGCGCAGAUAUCAGGAGGAACACCGGUGGCGAAGGCGGCUUGCUGGGCCUUACCUGACGCUGAGGAGCGAAAGCGUGGGGAGCAAACAGG